AAAUUAAAAACUUGCUAACAAUAGCAAAGUUUAGUAAGAACAAAGACCUGAAGGAAACUUCGCAAGCUGAGAUUAGAGAGAAGUGUUUAAGAUUAUAUGGAAACUUUGGUACCAGCGAAACGCUCCCCGUCUUGCUGACAACCUGGAUCUAGUGAUACUCUAGUUCUUACUUCUGAUAAUCGAAAAACGAAGCAAGCAAAUCACAAGACUGAUGAUUACAAUACAACGAAGAAAGCAUUGCUGAAGAAGCUCAAGAAAGUGAAAACGAGUUUACUUUAUAAGCCUAAUAAGUAGGACUUUAACUAGACAA